rnacentral:rRNA from 1 species
UGGGGAAUUUUGGACAAUGGGCGCAAGCCUGAUCCAGCAAUGCCGCGUGCAGGAUGAAGGCCCUCGGGUUGUAAACUGCUUUUGUACGGAGCGAAACGGUCUGCCCUAAUACGGUGGGCUAAUGACGGUACCGUAAGAAUAAGCACCGGCUAACUACGUGCCAGCAGCCGCGGUAAUACGUAGGGUGCGAGCGUUAAUCGGAAUUACUGGGCGUAAAGCGUGCGCAGGCGGUUAUAUAAGACAGAUGUGAAAUCCCCGGGCUCAACCUGGGACCUGCAUUUGUGACUGUAUAGCUAGAGUACGGUAGAGGGGGAUGGAAUUCCGCGUGUAGCAGUGAAAUGCGUAGAUAUGCGGAGGAACACCGAUGGCGAAGGCAAUCCCCUGGACCUGUACUGACGCUCAUGCACGAAAGCGUGGGGAGCAAACAGGAUUAGAUACCCUGGUAGUCCACGCCCUAAACGAUGUCAACUGGUUGUUGGGUCUUCACUGACUCAGUAACGAAGCUAACGCGUGAAGUUGACCGCCUGGGGAGUACGGCCGCAAGGUUG